rnacentral:rRNA from 1 species
GACGAACGCUGGCGGCGUGCUUAACACAUGCAAGUCGAACGGUGAAGCUCCAGCUUGCUGGAGCGGAUCAGUGGCGAACGGGUGAGUAACACGUGAGCAACCUGCCCCAGACUCUGGAAUAAGCGCUGGAAACGGCGUCUAAUACUGGAUACGAGAUCAAGCCGCAUGGUUAUGGUCUGGAAAGUUUUUCGGUUUGGGAUGGGCUCGCGGCCUAUCAGCUUGUUGGUGAGGUAAUGGCUCACCAAGGCGACGACGGGUAGCCGGCCUGAGAGGGCGACCGGCCACACUGGGACUGAGACACGGCCCAGACUCCUACGGGAGGCAGCAGUGGGGAAUAUUGCACAAUGGGCGAAAGCCUGAUGCAGCGACGCCGCGUGAGGGAUGACGGCCUUCGGGUUGUAAACCUCUUUCAGCAGGGAAGAAGCGAAAGUGACGGUACCUGCAGAAGAAGCACCGGCUAACUACGUG